GACGAACGCUGGCGGCGUGCUUAACACAUGCAAGUCGAACGGAAAGGCCCUGCUUUUGUGGGGUGCUCGAGUGGCGAACGGGUGAGUAACACGUGAGUAACCUGCCCUUGACUUUGGGAUAACUUCAGGAAACUGGGGCUAUUACCGGAUAGGAUCUCCUGCUGCAUGGUGGGGGUUGGAAAGUUUCGGCGGUUGGGGCUGGACUCGCGGCUUAUCAGCUAGUUGGUGGGGUAGUUGCUUACCAAGCCUUUGACGGAUAGCCGGCCUGAGAGGGUUACCGGCCACAUUGGGACUGAGAUACGGCCCAGACUCCUACGGGACGCAGCAGUGGGGAAUAUUGCGCAAUGGGCGGAAGCCUGAUGCAGCGACGCCGCGUGCGGGAUGACGGCCUUCGGGUUGUAAACCGCUUUCGCCUGUGACGAAGCGUGAGUGACGGUAAUGGGUAAAGAAGCACCGGCUAACUACGUG
rnacentral:rRNA from 1 species